UACGGAGGGUGCAAGCGUUAUCCGGAUUCACUGGGUUUAAAGGGUGCGUAGGCGGGUUGGUAAGUCAGUGGUGAAAUCUUCAAGCUUAACUUGGAAACUACCGUUGAUACUAUCAAUCUUGAAUAUUGUGGAGGUAAGCGGAAUAUGUCAUGUAGCGGUGAAAUGCUUAGAUAUGACAUAGAACACCGAUAGCGAAGGCAGCUUGCUACACAAUAAUUGACGCUGAGGCACGAAAGCGUGGGGAUCAAACAGG
rnacentral:rRNA from 1 species